rnacentral:rRNA from 1 species
GUGGAGCUUUAAAUGAUGAGAGAUUUUAUGCAACAAACCUAAAAAGGUAUAAGCGAAUUUAUACUCCCUCUAAUAUUUUUGGUUGGGGCGACCGCGGAGUAAAAAGAAACCUCCGUGAGGAAUGAGGUAAUUAACCUUAAAUCCCAGAACGACAAUUCAAAGAAACAAAAUUUUUGACCUAAAGAUCCGGCAAAGCCGAUCAACGAACCU